GGAUGUGAGGGCCAGCUGACUGGCACACCUGUCACCCUAGUGAUCACCAAAGUUGACCUGGCUGACAAGGCAGAUGACCCCCUCUGUCCCACCACUCC
rnacentral:sRNA from 1 species